rnacentral:rRNA from 1 species
AGCUCCAAUAGCGUAUAUUAAAGUUGUUGCAGUUAAAAAGCUCGUAGUUGAAUCUGUGGCGGCAUGUGUGGUCCAGAAUGUUUUGGUGCUGCAUGUUGUUGUCAUGUUUGGGUGGAAACUGUGGGGCAUUAGUUUGUUUUGCAGGGGAAGUCCAUCGUUUACUGUGAAAAAAUUAGAGUGUUAAAAGCAGGCUUAAGCCGUUGAAUAUGUUAGCAUGGAAUAAUGAGAUAGGACUUGGGUGCUAUUUUGUUGGUUUGCGCACCAAAGUAAUGAUGAAUAGGGACAGUUGGGGGUAUUCGUAUUCCAUUGUCAGAGGUGAAAUUCUUGGAUUUUUGGAAGACGAACUACUGCGAAAGCAUUUACCAAGGAUGUUUUCA